UCGAGUUACUCCGGAACACAGUGUUUAUUCUGUGUUUAGUCACGCCGCGUCAAAAAUGUUCCACAGGGUUACUUCCGGUUUAUCGUUGUUUACCUUUGUUUACCAACAGUCGACACUUCGUGUAUUAGGCCUAGGCUUAAUUUUGUCGAUCAUCAUGAAAUUGAAAUACACAUUUAAUAGUUUGGGGUGUAUGCGGUACAUAUUCGUUUAUGAGCGUUUGAUAAGCUACUAUUGAUCUACGAAAUACAACGAAAGACUUCGUCAAGAACAGAAGACGACGCGAUGUCGUGUAACUCACACAAGGCCCGGCCCAGCUGUCUAGUAACCGGAGGGGUAAAGGAAAAGAACGUAUUAGACUCACUGAAACCUGUCAAACUGGUUAAUGGGAACAGGAUAAUUUUCCAUGCCUUUCACUUGAGGUCUUCAGUUUCAUCAUUAAUCAUCUGAAUGUCAGUAUGCCAAACUCUCAUGAUGUCAUGCCAUUACUGGAUAUUCCUUAACACUGGUUUAUUUAAACCACACUACCUAUAACAUUGCCAAAUAUUAGACUGAAAAUUUUCAAAUACACAAGAUUUGAAGCAGCAAAAGAAAAGAAUUACAUAUGUAUAACACACAAAAAAGAAGAAAUUAAUUCUCACCUGGCUGAUAUGAACUUUUUACUCCUUUUUAGCUCCCUUUCACUGCAUACCAGCCAAUAACUAGCAGUCAUUAUAUGCAGAUCAGCCAUUGUUAUCAACCUGUGUAUAUAUAUGUUGAAUAAAAUAUGAAUGAAAA